rnacentral:rRNA from 1 species
GACAGAGGUGCCAAGCGUUAGGCGGAAUCACUGGGCUUAAAGCGUGUGUAGGCGGGUGGCUAAGUAACUUGUGAAAUCCCACGGCUCAACCGUGGAACUGCUGGGUAUACUGGGUGCCUUGGGUCAUCUAGGGGCUGCCGGAACAAAUGGUGGAGCGGUGAAAUGCGUAGAUAUCAGGAGGAACACCAAUGGCGAAGGCAGCACUCUGGGACGUGACUGACGCUGAGACGCGAAAGCGUGGGGAGCAAACAGG